ACCAGGUGGGCGAUAUGUUAGCAUGAUAGAUAAUCCAGAUCAGAGGUUUGCAGCUUUCCUAUCUCCGCUUACACUUGGUCGAGUAAACAUUGCAGUUAACUCAGUCUACAUUUCAAAGGUCAGCCUAGCAAUUGCUGUGAGAUACAGUUUGUCAAGGAGAGCCUUUUCAAUUGCACCAGAUGCCCCUGAAAG